CUCGGUGCAAAACAAAGGGGUCUAUCCCUAGGACUCUUUCUCGUGAACUAGGGUAAAGUAAAUAGAUGGGUCGCCCUUUCCUGUCCUGGAAGUUGAUCCCCGUUGCCCAAAAUAAACAAAGGUUCUAAGAGUCAAGUAAAUGGUGGGACCUCCUUCCGGGACCUCCGAUUAACUUAUUGAGCCUCUCUCCUAGGGUUGGUUUUCUCAUCUGACCCUAAAUCAUUCUUAAACCUGAGUUAAGUAGCUCUCUUGUUCUUGGCUGCUAGACAAGGAGCUGGGUAGAGAGAGAAUAGAUCCUAUCCCUAGGAU
rnacentral:lncRNA from 1 species